GCACUAUCUCCCAGAUAAUAUUUUUAGACGGACACCGGGCCAGAAGAGAACCCACUGCCCUGAAGGAAAGGUUGCAAUCCUGGCAGAAUUCACCAUCUGCUAACUAAAGAACCCUUGGGCCUUGAAUAAACAUCAGUGGUAGCCAGUCAGUAGUCACCACGACCUUGGGCGAGACCCAGUAUUGUGCUGGCUUCAGGUGUGACCCAGUAUAUUUCCACCUGUGGCGGCCACAGUGAGAGACACCUUCUGCUUGAGGAAAGGAGGAGGAAGAGUAAAAUGACUUUGUUUUGCAACUUGGCGAUAUGAUUAGGCUUUGUGUUCCCACCCAAAUCUCAUCUUGAAUUGUAAUCCCCAGGUGUUGAGGGCGAGACCGAGUGGGAGGUGACUGGAUCAUGGGGGUGGUUUCCCCCAUGCUGUUCUCAUGAUAGUGAGUGAGUUUUCACAAGAUCUGAUGGUUUUACAAGCGUCUGGUAUUUGCCUGGCUUGCAUUUCUCUCUCCUGCCACCAUGUGAAGAAGGUCCUUGCUUCCCCUUCGCCUUCCACCAUGAUUCUAAGUUUCCUGAGGCCUUCCCAACCAUGUGGAACUGUGAGUCAAUUAAACCUCUUUCCUUUAUAAAUUACUUUUUAAAGGGUACUAUCUUUAUAGCAGUGCGAGAAUGGACUACACACUUGGGUAUCCAGCUCAGCCACAGUCAAAUAAAGUGUAUCAAGCAGACUCCUGAAGUCUCUGAUUCCAGACCUUAGGUCUUGGUGGGCAUUUCUAGACCCAUCCUGGGCCAGAAAGGAACCUGCGGCUCUGGCGGGAGAGAACCAGGCUUGGUAGGACUCACCAACUGCUGACUAAAAACCCCUUGGGCCUU
rnacentral:lncRNA from 1 species